AACGAACGCUUGCGGCAUGCCUAACACAUGCAAGUCGAGCGCCUGUAGCGAUACGGGAGCGGCGCACGGGUGAGUAACGCGUGGGAACCUGCCCUUAGGUUCGGGACAACCGCGGGAAACUGCGGCUGAUACCGGAUGAAGUCCCCGAUAGAGAUAUCGGGGCCCAAAGAUUUAUCGUCUUUGAAGGGGCCAGCGUCGGAUUAGGUAGUGGGUGGGGUAACGGCUCACCAAGCCUGUGAUCCGUAGCUGGUCUGAGAGGAUGAUCAGCCACACUGGGACUGAGACACGGCCCAGACUCCUACGGGAGGCAGCAGUGGGGAGUAUUGGACAAUGGGGGCAACCCUGAUCCAGCAAUGCCGCGUGGGUGAUGAAGGCCUUCGGGUUGUAAAGCCCUUUCGGCGGGGACGAUGAUGACGGUACCCGCAGAAGAAGCCCCGGCUAACUUCGUGCCAGCAGCCGCGGUAAUAC
rnacentral:rRNA from 1 species